rnacentral:rRNA from 2 species
GUCCCACCUGACCCCAUGCCGAACUCAGAAGUGAAACGCCGUAGCGCCGAUGAUAGUGUGGGGUCUCCCCAUGCGAGAGUAGGGAACUGCCAGGC